CCUACGGGAGGCAGCAGUGGGGGAUAUUGCACAAUGGGGGGAACCCUGAUGCAGCGACGCCGCGUGGGUGAAGAAGCGCCUCGGCGCGUAAAGCCCUGUCAGCAGGGAAGAAAAUGACGGUACCUGAAGAAGAAGCCCCGGCUAACUACGUGCCAGCAGCCGCGGUAAUACGUAGGGGGCAAGCGUGAUCCGGAUUUACGGGGUGGAAAGGGGGCGCAGACGGCGAUGCAAGCCAGGAGUGAAAGCCCGGGGCCCAACCCCGGGACUGCUCUUGGAACUGCGUGGCUGGAGUGCAGGAGGGGCAGGCGGAAUUCCUGGUGUAGCGGUGAAAUGCGUAGAUAUCAGGAGGAACACCGGUGGCGAAGGCGGCCUGCUGGACUGCAACUGACGUUGAGGCACGAAAGCGUGGGGAGCAAACAGGAUUAGAUACCCGUGUAGUC
rnacentral:rRNA from 1 species